AACGAACGCUGGCGGCAUGCCUAACACAUGCAAGUCGAACGAGACCUUCGGGUCUAGUGGCGCACGGGUGCGUAACGCGUGGGAACCUGCCCUUAGGUUCGGAAUAACUCCCCGAAAGGGGUGCUAAUACCGGAUAAUGUCUUCUGACCAAAGAUUUAUCGCCUUUGGAUGGGCCCGCGUUGGAUUAGCUAGUUGGUAGGCUAAAAGCAUACCAAGGCGACGAUUGAUAGCUGGGAUGAGAGGAUGAUCAGCCACACUGGGACUGAGACACGGCCCAGACUCCUACGGGAGGCGGCAGUGGGGGAUAGUGGAAAAUGGGCGAAAGCAUGAUCCAGCAAUGCCGCGUGAGUGAUGAAGGCAGUAGGGUUGUAAAGCUCAUUUAACCGGGAUGAUAAUGACAGUACCGGGAGAAUAAGCCCCGGCUAACUCCGUG
rnacentral:rRNA from 1 species